CUGCGAAUGGCUCAUUAUAUAAGUUAUCGUUUAUUUGAUAGUACCUUACUACUUGGAUAACCGUGGUAAUUCUAGAGCUAAUACAUGCUAAAAAUCCCGACUUCGGAAGGGAUGUAUUUAUUAGAUACAAAACCAAUGCCCCUCGGGGCUCUCUGGUGAUUCAUGAUAACUCGUCGAAUCGCACGGCCUUGCGCCGGCGAUGGUUCAUUCAAAUUUCUUCCCUAUCAACUUUCGAUGUUUGGGUAGUGGCCAAACAUGGUGGCAACGGGUAACGGAGGGUUAGGGCUCGACCCCGGAGAAGGAGCCUGAGAAACGGCUACUACAUCCAAGGAAGGCAGCAGGCGCGCAAAUUACCCAAUCCCGAUACGGGGAGGUAGUGACAAUAAAUACUGAUACAGGGCUCUUUUGGGUCUUGUAAUUGGAAUGAGUACAAUUUAAAUCCCUUAACGAGGAACAAUUGGAGGGCAAGUCUGGUGCCAGCAGCCGCGGUAAUUCCAGCUCCAAUAGCGUAUAUUAAAGUUGUUGUGGUUAAAAAGCUCGUAGUUGAAUCUUGGGCCUGGCUGGCCGGUCCGCCUCACCGCGUGUACUGGUCCGGCCGGGUCUUUCACUCUGCGGAACCACAUGCCCUUCAGUGGGUGUGGCGGGGAAGCAGGACGUUUACUUUGAAAAAAUUAGAGUGCUCUAAGCAGGCCAAUGCUCGGAUACAUUAGCAUGGAAUAAUAAAAUAGGACGCGCGGUUCUAUUUUGUUGGUUUCUAGGACCGCCGUAAUGAUGAAUAGGGACAGUCGGGGGCAUCAGUAUUCAGUUGUCAGAGGUGAAAUUCUUGGAUCUACUGAAGACUAACUACUGCGAAAGCAUUUGCCAAGGAUGUUUUCAUUAAUCAGGAACGAAAGUUAGGGGAUCGAAGACGAUCAGAUACCGUCGUAGUCUUAACCAUAAACUAUGCCGACUAGGGAUCGGACGAUGUUAUUUAGUUGACUCGUUCGGCACCUUACGAGAAAUCAAAGU
rnacentral:rRNA from 1 species